rnacentral:rRNA from 1 species
GACAAACGCUGGCGGCGUGCUUAAAACAUGCAAGUCGUACGAACUGGCUUCGGUCAGUUAGUGGCGGACGGCUGAGUAACACGUAGGUAACCUACCCUUGAGUGGGGAAUAACUGUCCGAAAGGAUGGCUAAUACCGCAUACGACCGUUCCACCUCGGUGGGGCGAGGAAAGUCGCGAGGCGCUCGAGGAUGGGCCUGCGGCCGAUUAGCUAGUUGGUGAGGUAACGGCCCACCAAGGCGACGAUCGGUAGCUGGUCUGAGAGGAUGAUCAGCCAGACUGGGACUGUGACACGGCCCAGACUCCUACGGGAGGCAGCAGUUAGGAAUCUUGGGCAAUGGGCGAAAGCCUGACCCAGCAACGCCGCGUGGGUGACGGAGGCCUUCGGGUCGUAAAGCCCUUUUGCACGGGAAGAUGAUGACGGUACCUGAGGAAUAAGCCACGGCUAACUACGUGCCAGCAGCCGCAGUAACAC